UUGUCUGAGUUGAUAUUAUUUGUCUAGAAUUUACCGACUGUGAAGUGGCAUGAAGAGAGAGUGGCUAGAAAUCCCACCAGUUUGUGAUGGAAAGGCUGAGCCAAAAACUUCACAGCAAAGAUGAAUUUAGAAGAACAUUUUGAAAGUAAAAAGAAAUAUUUCCUUAAGGAAAGAUACCUGCAAACUACAGUGAUGAUUUGAAUGGCAAUGGUCAGUCAGAAAUGCUUAGUACCCUGGAGAUAUUAGAUUUGCUCACUUUCCAAAUCCAUGAAGCUUAAAGUUAUUUUGAUAAAGCUGGAACUGAAAACAAUAUUUCUCAACUUUGUUCCAUUCACUCCUACUGAAUCCAGCGGUCAUUCAAGGAUUUUUUGCUAACCUAGGAUUGGCCUGUACUGCAGACAGUGGAUGCAGUCCAUUGACAAUGAUCAGCCACAGUCCAAGUCUUGAACAGUAUUUUUUUUCCAUGCUAUUCUGAAAGGAAUGCAUGCCUCAUUUACUUUGUACCAUGAUGAUUAUGCUAAGUAAAAGAGUUGUCGGAUCAAUAUGUAUAUGACUUUCCAUAAUUUUUCUGUGAUCAUAGGAAAAUAGAGAGGUUAACUGAAGAACACCAUCAUUUGUUGAGGUUCAUUAAAUAUAUCAUCUCCAAUGUAUCACAUGUGGGGAGCAGGAGUAGUAUGCACAUAGUUUGCUUGUAAAAGGUGCCAGGUUCAAUCUCAAGCAUUUUUAAGCAGGGCUGGGAAAGAUCUGCCAGUCAUUGUGACAACCAUGGGCUAGGCAGAUUAUAUGUAAUGGGGUAGGUAUAAUCUGUUUUAUAACUGUAUUGUAUAGUUUUAUAUUUGUAUUACUCCAUCCUACCCUUGUGUGUUUGUUGUCAUAUAUUUGUUGAAUUACAAGUUCUAUCAGCCACACUUUGCAACACUGGGUGUGGCUGAUGGGAAUUGCGGUUCAAGACAUCUAUUGGGUGCUGGGUUUGGGAACAUUGCACUGGUGUACUGCUAUUUAAAGGAUAUACAUGCAAUCAUUGGUCACAUAUGUUUCAAAAUCAAAUAAGUUGUUACAGUGCAUGUGUUUUGUAGCUGAUUCCGAAAAGUCUGUGCAAAAUCACCUGAUGAAGGAAAUACUUUAAGACAUAGGAAUCCAAUGAACAACUCAUCAUCAUGAAGCUUGCAAAUGACAAUAUUCUUCCUUUCACAACUCAUGUUUGCUCAGGCUAGAUUUCUAACUCUUAUCCUACCCUUAUUGAUUAUUAUUCAUAAUACAACUUCAAAGAAUGUAAAGAAGUCAAUAAAUGCUCUUUCUGACUGGAAA